AUAGGGCCAUGUGUCCUUGUGGGGCUGCCCCAUAGAUUUCCCCUAUAGGGUCACGUGUCAGCCCCAUAUAUCGCGAGGCUGCCCCAUAGAUUCCCCCUAUAGGGACAAGUGUGAGCCCCACAACUUAUGGGGCGGCCCCAUAGAUUCACCUUAUAGGGACACGUGUGAGCCCCACAACUUGUGGGGCUGCCCCAUAGAUUCCCCCUAUAGGGCCACGUGUGACCCCACAACUUAUGGGGCUGCCCCAUAGAUUCCCCCUAUAGGGUCACGUGUGGGCCCCCCAACUUAUGGGGCGGCCCUAUAGAUUUCCGUAUAGGGUCACAUGUGGGCCCCACAACUUAUGGGGCUGCCCCAUAGAUUCCCCCUAUAGGGUUGCAUGUGAGCCAUUUGUGAGCCCCCAACUUAUGGGGCCGCCCCAUAACCCCAUAGAUCCCCUAUAGGGGAAAUCUAUGGGGCCGUGUGAGCCCCCCAACUUAUGGGGCGGCCCCAUAGAUUCCUCCUAUAGGGACGCAUCUGGGCCCCACAACUUAUGGGGCUGCCCCAUAGAUUCCCCCUAUACGGUUGCAUGUGACCCCACAACUUAUGGGGUGGCCCCAUAACCCCAUAGAUCUCCUAUAGGGGAAAUCUAUGGGGCCAUGUCAGCCCCCCAACUUAUGGGGCGGCUCCGUAACCCCAUAGAUCCCCUAUAGGGGAAAUCUAUGGGGCCGUGUGAGCCCCCCAACUUAUGGGGCAGCCCUAUAGAUUUCCACAUACGGCCAUUUGUGAGCCCCCAGCUUAUGGGGCAGCCCCAUAGAUUUCCCCUAUAGCGUCUCAUGUGGGCCCCACAACUUAUGGGGUGGCCCUAUAGAUUUCCAUAUAGGGUCACUUGUCACCUCCCCAACUUAUGGGGCAGCCCCAUAACCCCAUAGAUCCCCUAUAGGGGAAAUCUAUGGGGCCCUGUGAGCCCCCCAACUUAUGGGGCGGCCCCACGUCUCCCUAUAGGGCAAAGCUUUGGGGUCGCAGCGGCUGCUGGCGGUUCGGGGUCCGGGCGGCUCCUCCAUCAUCAUCGUCACCGACGGGAGGAAGGCGGAGGACGGGAGCAUAAAGGGGCUGCUGGCACGGGACGGGGCCGCCGUGUCGGAGGUUCCUGGCGCCGCGUUUGAGGAGCGGGGUUCGAUCCGCGCUGCGCCCCAUAGCAGGGACCCACAGAACCCCAUAGAUUUGGAAACCGCCCUAAAAGUCGCCAUCGAAGCCGGGGCCGAAGACGUCAGCCUGGAUCCGCAGCCGAAGAAUGGAGACGGGGAGCAGGAGCUGCAGGUCUGACCCUAUAAAUGACCCCACUGAUCCCAUAAAUGACCCUAUAGAACCCCAUGGCCCCAUAAGUGCCUUAUAGGAUCCUAGUGAUCCUAUAAAAGCCCCUGUAGAACCCCAUUGCUCCAUCAGUGACCCUAUAGAAUGCCAUUGCCCCAUAAAUCCUCUCUAGGACCCCACUGAUCCCAUAAGUGACCCUAUAGAACCC
rnacentral:lncRNA from 1 species